AGCCAUACAAUGCACUCAAUUUAUUUUGAAGGAUUCUGUUUAUUGAGAAUUCCAUCAAGAACACAUCAACUGAAGUCAUGCAGCAUCAGAGCUGCAGGAUGUAUGAAUAAUUGUCUUUCUUCAUUUGUUUUCAGAGUGAGCCAUUCUCCGAAUAAUUACCCGAUUAUUCCAAUCCAAGGGGUUCAGAAGGAACAGGAGGAUCUGCGUGAGGUGAUGAGAUAGAAGCCUCUGAAAUGCUUUUCCUGACGGAGUCUGAGAAAGAAAGCAAACAACAAAAGGCCAGAGGGGAGAUGUAAUGCCUCCACCUCGUGCAGGAUUUAUCCACCUGGUCUAAUCCCGGCUGGACAUGCACGGCCCCUGAGGAAGGAGGACUGGCUGACACCCACAAAAGAAGCUCGCUCUUACAGCUCUGCCUGUCACACUUAUGUAACAAAACCUAUCUGAGACUUUGUUCUCUUACGCGUACUUAUUUAUGGAGGGAUGACUGAAAAUUGACUUUUAUAACAGAGAAUCCAAGUAUGUGAAUGAAUAAAACUUCUUGAAUGCUUCACCUCCACCGUAGGUUCAUAUUUUUAGGCGUUGAGUGCCGGUGACAAAUCACACAACUGGAGCAAGUACACAAGAUUAAAUCAUGAAUGAAUUUGCUGAAAAUACAUAAUCUCAAAUUUGGAAGUACAUCAGAGAGCAGAAUGGUAGAGCUUUGAGAAAUUACAACAAUGCUGGACGGCCCAUGUGCCAUCAGUGGGGUUUGAAUUUGAACAACUCUGAUUCUUGGUUUGAUUGCGGUUCCUAAUGAUUCUCAAAUCUGAUUUCUGUGAAAGACAUGGUAAAAAAAAAAUCAUGUUUUAAAUGAGAUGCCAAACAAGAGGGUCUUCUGGAAAGAAAUUCUCACGGAGCUCAAC